rnacentral:piRNA from 1 species
UGACUCUUCACCAUAUAACUGAAGUCC